rnacentral:rRNA from 1 species
GACGAACGCUGGCGGCGUGCUUAACACAUGCAAGUCGAACGGUAAGGCCCUUCGGGGUACACGAGUGGCGAAUGGGUGAGUAACACGUGGGUGAUCUGCCCUGCACUUCGGGAUAAGCCUGGGAACCUGGGUCUAAUACCGGAUAGGACCCUGGGAUGCAUGUCCCGGGGUGGAAAGCUGUUGCGGUGUGGGACGGGCCCGCGGCCUAUCAGCUUGGUGGUGGGGUGAUGGCCUACCAAGGCGACGACGGGUAGGCGGCCUGGGAGGGUGACCGGGCACGAUGGGACGGAGGUACGGCCCAGACUCCUACGGGAGGCAGCGGUGGGGAAUAUUGCUCAAUAGGCGCAAGCCUGAUGCAGCGACGCCGCGUGAGGGAUGACGGCCUUCGGGUUGUAAGCCUCUGUCGGCACCGACGAAGCACAGUUGACGGUAGGUGCAGAAGAAGGACCGGCCAACUACGUGCCAGCCGCCGCCGUAA